CAUCUGUGUACUUUCUCUGUGUUGUCUUGUCGGCUUAACAUUAAAUUAUGGAUCAUAUUUAUUCUGUUUUAAGGAGAAUUAUACCAAGUGCAUCAACAAAUACAGAUUGGAUAACUGAAGGCAAAGCUGUCUUGUCUGUUUCAAGUAGGAAUACUAUUGCUUUUACGUCAACAACUGAUCUGCUUGAUGGAACUGCUAAAACAACAAGAAUCCACGUAUAUGUUGCUGAUCUCAACAUGCCAUGGGAGGCAUAUAAGGUUCUUAGUCAUACUGAGGACAUAACAUGUGUUGAAUGGGAUAUUAGUGCUACUAAAUUAUUAAUAGCAGAUGCAGUGGGAUGCAUUCAGAUAUGGUCAAUGAAAGAUUUCCUCUUAAAUGAUUGGAUGCAAGUUACAAGUACAACAUACGAUGGGGAAUAUAUUCUUGCUGCUGCUUGGUUCCAUAAUGGAAAAAAAAUUGCCUUAAAUAUGGAGAAGAAGGAUAAUCCUUUGUAUUUAGAAAAAUAUUCAUUUAUACGCUUUGGACCAUCUGUAAAACAGUUUGGUGGGAAGCCUAGUGAAGGUGUUAUUGCAAUUACUACAGCGGGAAUGGUUUUUGUGUUGAUUUUACAAUCAGAUGGAAGUAUAAUUACUGGUGCUGAAGUGCUAGGCCAAUUCAGGAAUAAAAUUAAAGUUGUUGAUCUAUGUUAUGCAAAGAGCGGGGAUUUUUUAGUUAUAGCCACUGAUGGACUUGUGCAGUCAUCUGUGCAUUGUUACAGAGUUGGUUUAAAAGUUAAUCAAGAUGAAUGUAUAAUAAGUUGCCAACCUUUUUCAAGUUUUUAUUUGAAUUGCCAUUCUAGUUGCUUAUCUGGAGAAAAACAAUCUUAUGUAAAAGUCACUCAUUUGAAGUUCAUUUUACGGGAAGCAGCUGAUGCUGUUGUUAUCACUGCUUCUGGUCCUAACGAUAGCACUGUUGAACUCUGGGAACUGAGAGAGAAGCCUGUCAUUUUCCACAAACUAUUAAAUACAGCAUCAUUAGAAGGCCAACCUAAAACAGUGGUAUGGCAACAUCACACAUCUUCUACUGCCUCUUCCGCUGUUGUGGCAGUGGCCACCCCUCGUUUAUCAAUAUAUGAUGCUAAUCCACCACCAUCAUACAUAUUAGUUGCUUAUAAAGAUAAUGUUAUAAAGUGUUUUUACAGAGAAUCUCUUCAGCUAGUUUGCAGUAUUUGUGUAAAUACAGGAACUCACAGAAGAGAUGAGCAUACUAUGUAUAGUCAUCAGCAAGGCUUAAAACAAUACCUUCAUGGAGCUUCUAUAAGUGAUAUGCAGUUGACAUGGACUGGAUGUACAUUAAUUGCUAUUGACUCUCUUUCACAAUUAUUUUUGUAUCGUUUAUCUCCCAUUACUGAUCCUGGUGGUCCUAUGAGUGCUUCAUAUGCGAUAACCGUAUUGGAGUACUGCUUAAUGACCGGAACUGAUUGGUGGGAUGUUGUCCUAAGUUUAAGGCCUGGUUUAAUUGAAAGCAUAUGUGAGAAGCUUUCUGAAUCAUUUAAUCGUCAACCAGCUGCAUCUCAGCAAGGAUGGAUUUGUCGAUUUCUUGCCCUUAAAGGAUUUUUAUAUAGGUGUCUAAGCAAUGGACUUGCAAAAGCAGGUGAUUGUCAUGCACUUGUUAUGUUAAAUGCUGUUGCAGCAGCCAUGAAAGGCCUUUUACGACCUAGAGAUUUAUCUAGUCAAGAUAAAGGACCAGCAGAAAACCUGACUGCUAUAUUAACUAGUAAAGGCACAGAGACAAUUAUGCAUAUGGAUAAGGUAUUAUUGCUUCUGGAACAUAAAGAAUUUACUGUGGAGCCUCCUAUUUUGCAGUCUCUGCAACAUCUUACUCAGUGGGUCGCUGAUUGUGCUAUUUAUUUACUAGCAUCUUUGCCUCAUCAGGCACAGAAUCACAUGCGAUUUCCUGGGUUCCUGAUUUUAUCAAACUGAAAGGCCUCUCAGUACUUCUAAACAAACAUUUCCAUCAGUAGGGCUAUCCUCUUGAGUUAACCAGUGUGUUUCUUCUGCACUAGUGGUUCAGGGAUGCUAAGGCAGUUACGUGGAAAGGCCUCCAUUUCUUGCAUAAGGGAGGAUUAAUUUCUGAUGUCAAAGCCCUUAACACUCUAAGAGAGUUAUUGGUCAUUAUCAGAAUAUGGAGCUUUUUAAACGAAAGUUGCCUUCCAGUAUUUACCAAAAUGUCUGGUA
rnacentral:misc_RNA from 1 species